UCGUCACACUAUCAUUAACUGAAUCCAUAGGUUAAUGAGGCGAACCGGGGGAACUGAAACAUCUAAGUACCCCGAGGAAAAGAAAUCAACCGAGAUUCCCCCAGUAGCGGCGAGCGAACGGGGAGGAGCCCAGAGCCUGAAUCAGCAUGUGUGUUAGUGGAAGCGUCUGGAAAGGCGCGCGAUACAGGGUGACAGCCCCGUACACAAAAGCGCAUGUGCUGUGAGCUCGAUGAGUAGGGCGGGACACGUGGUAUCCUGUCUGAAUAUGGGGGGACCAUCCUCCAAGGCUAAAUACUCCUGACUGACCGAUAGUGAACCAGUACCGUGAGGGAAAGGCGAAAAGAACCCCGGCGAGGGGAGUGAAAAAGAACCUGAAACCGUGUACGUACAAGCAGUGGGAGCACCCUUUGGGGUGUGACUGCGUACCUUUUGUAUAAUGGGUCAGCGACUUAUAUUCUGUAGCAAGGUUAACCGAAUAGGGGAGCCGGAGGGAAACCGAGUCUUAAUUGGGCGUUAAGUUGCAGGGUAUAGACCCGAAACCCGGUGAUCUAGCCAUGGGCAGGUUGAAGGUUGGGUAACACUAACUGGAGGACCGAACCGACUAAUGUUGAAAAAUUAGCGGAUGACCUGUGGCUGGGGGUGAAAGGCCAAUCAAACCGGGAGAUAGCUGGUUCUCCCCGAAAGCUAUUUAGGUAGCGCCUCGUGAAUUCAUCUCCGGGGGUAGAGCACUGUUUCGGCUAGGGGGCCAUCCCGGCUUACCAACCCGAUGCAAACUGCGAAUACCGGAGAAUGUUAUCACGGGAGACACACGGCGGGUGCUAACGUCCGUCGUGAAGAGGGAAACAACCCAGACCGCCAGCUAAGGUCCCAAAGUCAUAGUUAAGUGGGAAACGAUGUGGGAAGGCCCAGACAGCCAGGAUGUUGGCUUAGAAGCAGCCAUCAUUUAAAGAAAGCGUAAUAGCUCACUGGUCGAGUCGGCCUGCGCGGAAGAUGUAACGGGGCUAAAC
rnacentral:rRNA from 1 species